rnacentral:lncRNA from 1 species
UCCUUGGCAGAAUCCAGACCCUUCCAGAAAAGACCUUUUAACUUCAAAUGCACCAAAAUUAUCUUUUCUUGCUAAGGAAAUUAACAGAUUAGCACCAAGACACACGACCCAGCCUGGGUCCAUCAGCCUUCUGUUUGGUUUCUGUGUAUGUGACCCCAGAAAAUAGGGGUGUUUGACCUUCCCCCUUCCCCAGUUCACCUACUCAUAUGGGUGUCUCUUAUACAAACAUUGGGGCAAUUAUCUUUUGUUUUUUAAUUUUAGAAAAUUGUUUUACUUUCAUACUUCUUAGACAUAGGGUCUCACUAUAUUGGUUUCCUGAGGCCUCCCCAGCCACGGGGAACUGUGAGUCAAUUAAACCUCUUUCCUUUAUAAAUUACCCAGUCUCAGGUAGUAUCUUUAUAGCAGUGCGAAAAUGGACUAAUAUUAUUAAUUUUUUUAUUGAGAUGGAGUCUUGCUCUGUCACCCAGACUGGAGUGUAGUGGCUCCAUCUUAUCUCAUUGCAACAUCCGCCUCCUAGGUUCAAGUAAUUACCCUGCCUCAGCCUCCUGAGUAGUUGGGAUUACAGGUUCCCGCCACCACACCUGGCUAAUUUUUGUAUUUUUAGUAGAGACGGGGGUUUCACUGUUUUGGCCAGGCUGGUCAUGAACUCCUGACCUCAGGUGAUCUGCCUGCCCUGGCCUCCCAAAGUGCUGGGAUUACAGGUGUGAGCCACCGCACCCAGCCCCAUCACCCAGAUUAUUAAGUCUAGUACCCGUGGCAUAUAAGCACCGUAUUUUCUUUAUCCAGUCUUCCAUUGAUUGACACUUAGGUUGAUUCCAUUUCUUUGCUGUUGUGAAAAGUGCUGCAGUGUACAUUCGUGUGCAUGUGUCUUUAUAACAGAAUGAUUUAUAUUCUUUGGGGUAUAUACCCAGCAAUGGGAUUGCUGGAUCAAAUGAUAGUUGGUUUUAGGUCUUUGAGGAAUCACCACAGUGCUUUCCACAAUAGUUUAAUUAAUUUACACCCCACCAACAGUCUUUAGAAAAGUCUUAGCAUGUGAAGCCU